UCAGGUGACGUAAUGCGUUCACUUACUUUUAAAAUGACCACUAACGGAACUUCGGCUCGAAGGACCACGUUGUCAGUGGUGGAUGGUUGCCGUGAAGAUCAACAUAAUUUGUUUUCAUUUCUCAUACUCGGAAAGUAAUGUUGUUUUGAUCUGAUUAUUGGGUGGAAAAUGCUGCUUCCCAGGAAAAACUCAUACAAAUUACUUCCCACCUAAGGGCCGGAAUGAACUUUAAAAAUAGAACUGCUUUCAGCUAUGAAGAGUUUUAUGUAAAAAAAAAUAAUUUUAAGAAAUGCCACGUGUAUUUCUAAACAGCCAGUGUGAACUUAGCGCAAACUACUUUGAAGGGAAUAAGCCGCAACAAUUUCGCGGUGAGUUCCAUAUAUAAAUUUAAAAAGUCGACAUAAAUUGGCGGGAUACUGAUCUGUAAUGUAUCUGUGACUGAAUUCAAAAAAUAGGUAAUAAUCUUUUAUGCUAAGAUUUGAAUAUUAAAAAUGAGUUCAAGCGAUUCUGAAAUGUUAACACCAGAUUAAAUUAGAGACAAGGCAAAUUGUGUUAUUGAAAAUCUUUUGCCAGAAAUCUCAAAAGAAAGAUAUAUAAACACAUACAAUGAUUUUAUGAAGUGGCUAAUAGAGAAGAAUAUAAAAUCGUUUUCCGAAAGUGUAUUUCUUACAUAUUUUAAUGGAGUGUGUAGCAAACUACAGCCUUCUACGUUAUGGAGCCGAUAUUCAAUGCUCAAGAGUAUACUUAGUGUAAUUUAACAUCAUUUUUGAAAAGACAGUGUCAGGGGUUCAAGAGUAGGAAAUUUAAGGUUUUCACCUCUCAUGAAGCGGAUUUUUUUUUAAAUGAUGCUCCUGACGAGAUAUAUUUGGCAGUGAAGGUGGUAUUGAUACUCAGUAUAAACGGCGCUUGCAGAAGCAGUAAACUCACAAAUUUGACAAUUAAGGACAUUGAAAGUCAAGGCCAAUUAUUAAUUAUUAAACAUUCCAAACAAAAAUGUAACUUUAAUUUCACGAAUUGUCCUAAUUGACAAUUAAUUUUAAAUAGGUGUUACUAAUAUUAUUAUAUAUUAUGAAUAAAUAGUUUAGAUAAACAA